rnacentral:rRNA from 1 species
AUGUGAUCGUCUCUCGCAUAUCAAUAAGCGGAGGAAAAGAAACUAACAAGGAUUCCCCUAGUAACGGCGAGUGAAGCGGGAAGAGCUCAAAUUUGAAAUCUUAAAGGGUUUCCCUUUACGAAUUGUAGUUUAAAGAAGUGUUUUCUGUUGAGGUUUUGGUAAAAGUUCUUUGGAAUAGGACAUCAUAGAGGGUGAGAAUCCCGUAUUUGACCUUUACUUUCAACUUUGUGAUACACUUUCAAAGAGUCGGAUUGUUUGGGAAUGCAGUCCAAAAUGGGUGGUAAAUUUCAUCUAAAGCUAAAUAUUGGCGAUAGACCGAUAGCGAACAAGUACCGUGAGGGAAAGAUGAAAAGAACUUUGAAAAGAGAGUUAAACAGUACGUGAAAUUGUCAAAAGGGAAGCGUUUGACACCAGUGUUGUUUUUCUGAAAAUCAAUUAAAGAACUGUUUAUGCUAAGUUGUUUAGACUUUAUCAGCUAACUGUUUAGUUUUGAGCUUUUCUUUAAUGCACUUUUCAGCUUAACAAGUCAACAUCAAUUUCUUUUGCUGUAAAAAAGCUUGAGGAAGGUGGCUUGAGAUUCGUCUUAAGUGUUUAUAGCCUCUUGCCUAUGCAGUCGGAGAGAUUGAGGUCUGCAGCGUAGAUCCUUCGGGGCUAAAUGCAUUUGUGCUAAGUUAUAGCAUUUUAUAGACAACUUGUUGACUAUGAUUUGUCUUGUAGCUUACUCGCUUAUGUUAUUUUACCUACGCUUAGGAUGUUGAAGUCAUCGUAUCGCGC